UGGAAUGGUCUGGUCUCUGAACGAAUCUGGACCAUGGCUAAGCCUUUCAGAGCUCGAACACACCAGAAUGAGGCCGGAGAAGCCAAAGGAGCUCAGGUCGACGGAGGACUUGAAUAGGUCUAUUGAAAGUUGGGCCUUGAAAGCUCGAAUAAUCAAGGUUUGGGGUGAAAGGAGAGAGAGUAUAGGCUAUCUGAGAAGCCAUGGACGCCGGUGGAUUAUUGAUCGGAGACGAAGGUAGGCGGCUAGAGUUUAGAGAGAGUUUGAGAGAAAAGAGGAUUUGAGGGCAG
rnacentral:lncRNA from 1 species